CAAAACUGCUGUGUUACUGGGUGGGCAAGGAAGCAGAAUCUCUGUUCAACAAGAUGGAAGGUCAUGUCUGGUGAUAAAGCUGGAUGAUAUGAGCCUGGGUGCCACCAACAGUCAGAUUCCUGGUGACUUGGAGAAGACCAAGAAGAAGACUGAGAAGAGUUCAAGAUAGAAUACUAGUUUGAUUUUUAUCAGGUCAUAAUUUCUGUAAUUCAGUUAUAUAAUUUAAAAAAUUCCAUUUGUUGUUUGCAAUCAAAAGAAUUCUAACAAAUUCUGAUGUGGUAUAAAAGCAAUAAAGUUCCUGAAAAUAAGC
rnacentral:lncRNA from 1 species